rnacentral:rRNA from 1 species
AGCGAACGCUGGCGGCAGGCUUAACACAUGCAAGUCGAGCGGGCGUAGCAAUACGUCAGCGGCAGACGGGUGAGUAACGCGUGGGAACGUACCUUUUGGUUCGGAACAACACGGGGAAACUUGUGCUAAUACCGGAUAAGCCCUUACGGGGAAAGAUUUAUCGCCGAAAGAUCGGCCCGCGUCUGAUUAGCUAGUUGGUGUGGUAACGGCGCACCAAGGCGACGAUCAGUAGCUGGUCGAGAGGAUGAUCAGCCACAUUGGGACUGAGACACGGCCCAAACUCCUACGGGAGGCAGCAGUGGGGAAUAUUGGACAAUGGGCGCAAGCCUGAUCCAGCCAUGCCGCGUGAGUGAUGAA